CAUCAUCAAGUUUUUGGCGCCAUUGCCGGGGAAGGCACGCGUUUUCUUUUCUGCAAAACCCCGAGAAAGGUUAGUAAAUCGACUCUAGAACCCCCUUUUCUGCAACUUUCCAUUUUUCGGUUAUUUUGUUUCCAUUUCAGAAGAUAUGGAUCCUAUAAAUCGAAAUAUACACUAUGAGAAAGGUUUCUAUAACACUCCUCAAGCCACUCAACGCCGAGAAGCACAAUACAUUCGUGAUCUCUCCUCAAUGGAUCAGAAUUCAACUCCGAACCACCACAAAAGAGGACAUCGCAGCCACUACAAAUCAAUUCGCGAAGGUUUAGAGGAAAAAGGAUUCUGCUGGGAGACCAUAACAACUUACAAUACCCACGAAGAUAUCCAUGAUCGUCUCUUUGAUGUAGAUAUGUCGUCUGUCUCCCAAACCGAGAUCGAUGAUAUGCUUCAGGAGCUCAAUGAAUCUAUGGAUGAUGGGUAUUGGGUAUCUUGUGAAGUAGAUGGAGAAUCCUCCAUCAAGUUUGUUAGAAAGAGGCCAUCAAAUGAAAUUCCUUAGGAUCAUCAUGUCAUGGAAGCCAGCUAUCAAGAAAAAGGAGAACCUCUUUCCAUCCUUAGUGACGAUCUCGUCUCUACCGAUUCAUUCAAGUGUUUUGGAGAUGACAAACAAGAUCAUAAGUCCCUUCCUCUUGAUGAACCAAAGCCUUGUUCUCCUUCAGCUCCUCACCAUCUUGAAUGUAAGACAGACCACGUGGAAGAUAAGACACUAAUGGUGACAUCAAAAUCACCAUUGGAGGCGCUUUCUAAGACGAAGGAUUCCGAGAAGUUUGAUGCCCCAUUCUCAAUCAAGGAAGUGAAAUUUCGUGAUUCUCGUUGUGAAUCUGGACCUGGUGUGAAUCUCAUACCAAAGACCAUUGCAGAGAAUACAGGUAUUUCGAUUUUUCAUCCCUCAAAGAUUGAUAUUCACUAUGGAGAUUUUUCUGGUGCAGCUCUACUUGGUUCCAAACCAAAAUUGCCUUUUCAAGGGAAAGGUUGUCUUGUUUCUACUGGUUCCCAUGCUAUGGAGAUGAGAAACAAUGCAACAAAACCCUUGAUACUUGGUAUUUCGUGUCUAGCAUAUGUUGGAACACUCAUCAACUACCUGCAUCAACAUAUGAGUUUCCAGAAGAUCAACAAGAAAACCCCAUACCCGGUGAUUACUACAAGGAACUCUCAUUAUCUGAAAAUAGGAGGCGUAGAUGAUCCAAUAUUUGACCCUGGAGGAACUACAAAGGAUGUUGGAUACGUUCUAGAAAGAAGAGCACCCAAAGAAAACGCUGGAUUUACAAACUUGAUGAACAAAGGUACUUCCUUACGUAUAUCUUUAACUAAUGCUCAUAUAAGAGGUGAUGAAGACUUAAUUGAAACGAGAGUGAAGCUUAAAUGGCUCUCAAGACUCUUUUCCAAAGACUCCCCACAAGGAAAAAGAAUUGGAGACAAUAUGCAAGAGGAUCUGGACACCUUUUCUCGGAAAUUCACCACCGCGGUCGCGUGUGCGCUACCAGCGGCCAAACCACCUUUCCCCGCGGUCGCGUGUGCGUUACCAGCGGCCAAACCACCUUUCACCGCGGUCGCGACACUUCCACCAGCGGCCAAUGCUCUUUUUACCAAUUCUCCAACAGUUCAAGCCAUGGCGACACCUCUCCAAGCAAACUGUCCUCACCUUGGAUGCUUAACCAUCUCCACCACUUCAGAUCAUAAAGAAUCAUCUGUCCUUGUAUCUUGCAACAUGGUUCAAUGUCAUGAAGUGAGAGAGACCUUAUUCACCCCAUCAUACAAGCAUCUAAGACGUUCUCCUGUCACAAGUGGUGUUGAAGACUCAUACCUCAAAGAAGUUCCAAGACUGAUUUUUGAUCCUGGAGGAGACUACCAUCUCGAACCUGCUAGGCAAAGCAAGGAGAUGUCAAAAAAGACUUGUCUCAGGACAAGGUCCUCUUCAUUGGAAUAAGUCACGUCCAACACCAAAAGUCGAGCUAAACGACUUAAAACAGAAGCGCUUAAUGGGAGGCAACCCAUUUAGGUAUUGUUUUCUUUAGGAUUUUUCUUUCUUUUUCUUUUGAUCUUUUUCUUUUUCUUAGUUUCAAGUGUUUCUUAUAAAACAAAAAAAGCCAAAAAAAUCAAAAAAAUCCGAAAAAACCAAAAAGAAGGAUGGUACCUGACUGCUCGGCCCAGCAGGAACCAAGGAGAAGCAGGAAGAGGCCGCGAUAUAAGCCCCCGCGGUCGCAGACGUUCUGACCGCGGGAAACCUACCGUCGGCCGCGGUCGCAUAGUCCUGACCGCGGCCAAGUGCUUGAUUGCCGCGGUCGUGCAGCCCCUGACCGCGGCACUUGGUCGUUGACAUCCAAGCCCGACCCAAACCACCCACUUCACCCCAUUCCACCUCACCAAUCACCCUCCACCUCAUUCAUCACCUUCCACCACCUUCAUCACCACAUAAUCACCUUCCCAAACCACUUCGAAUGAAUCCGGUUCAUCUCCACCAUCAUCCCGGAUCCAGGUAAGUUCUCUUUGUUCUUACCAAUUCGAUUAUCUAUGCAUUUUUCUCAUCCAAUCUCGACUUGUUUCACACUGAGGACAGUGUGAUUUAAGUCUGGGGGAGGAUUUCAUCCCUUUCUAACCACUUUUCUUUCAUGAGUCUUGCAUUAUCUACACUUUUUGCAUUUUCUUUAAAGUUUUUCAAAAUCGGUUUUCAAAACAAAAUACGUUUAAAAGGGAAUGGUGAACAUGAAUCAAUGAUAGUUGACUGUGUGCUUUAGACUGUUCCUAGUGACAUGCUCAUUCAUGAUUUAAGACUAGACUAGGCGGUAGCUAAGCACAUUUGAAACGAAGUACCCCAGAGGAAUUUGAAGGAUUUUGAUUUAGAUGAAGGGAUACACUAGCUCUGUUUUAUUUGGACUUAAUUUGGAGUUAAUUUUCUCAUUGAAGCAUUAGACCAGGGAAACGAAUCAUACAUUCAGGACUCCUUUAUCCUUUUACCACUCUCUGUUGAUCCUGAAUGGCUAGUUCAUCUUUAGCUAGUUCCCCACCUUAACCAAUCCUCUUUCAAACAACAUGCACUCUUGUUUUCUAUUAUCUUAUAUGCAGAUAAGUGCAAAAACGUUGGAGAGAAAGAGGAACGACGCAGUUUUCAGUCACCAAGGACAGAGACAUGUGAUUUUCCGGAAAUGUUCCCGGAAGGAUUCAACACAAGUUGAAGCUCAGUUUGCCUUAGAAAAAUCUCAAAUUUUGGUACAAUCUCGUCCUCUAGUCUCUCUCUCUUUAAAAGGCAUUUCCUUUCCAAAAAAAAAAAAAAGUUCCGAAAAUAAGAAAAGAAAGGAGAUAAAAGCCUUAGAGAGUCUAGAGAGGUCGAAUUUUAAGUCCCAAGGCAACUGGAGUUCGAUUUUAUGGAGUUUUGGAGAUUCUUUUCUGAUUCCCGGAAAAAAAAUCUAAGUCUGGGGGAACAGCUGUUUACCACAAAGGAGGAAGGAUUAUGCAACAACAUUUGGCAAGAAGAAAUGAUUGAAAACUGUGGUCAUGAACAGGUCUUAUCUCUCUUGCGGUUUUGCAUAUUAUCUUGCAUCCUCCAGAUCUUCAGGUAACCCGAAACACUUUAACUCCACCACUUAAAUAGCCCUUGAAUGCCAAACGCCGUCUACCUUGGAUGAUGUCUUUAAUGAGAACUCACUAUUGAACUUAAUGAAUGUAGAGAGCUAGUUGACUGAAAUCAAGAUUUAAAUUAUUUAAGUUUUGCAUGACGGAAAAAGUGGACUAGUAUCUCUUGUGCUUUGGUGAGAAUUUUCUAGACUAAGUUGUGGAUUGAUACACUAUCUUUGGUCCUAGUUUAGAGUUCAUGUCUAUGAGAUUUGUGCAUUCCCUAUUUUUGUUUUCACUUAACCAGUUUAGGCUUUUGCUUUGUUUGAGGACAAACAAAGGUUUAAGUCUAGGGGAGUUGAUAACACUAUCUUUGGUUCUAGUUUAGAGUUCAUGUCUAUGAGAUCGUUUUGAAAUACUUUUUCUAUGUUUUUAAUUGCUUUUAAGUACUUUUAUUACAUUUUUCUAGUAUUUGUAGUUUCAAAACUCUUUUCAGGUAACUUAGGGAAAAGCUUAACAAAAUGGAUAGAAAACUAUAUUUCAGCUCAGAGUCAAACCGUCAGAAGUUCACCCCUGAUUGAAGGCCUUCUCACCGUCUGAUCCAGCUCAAAUUUGGAGACCUUAAAGAUGGAAGUAUCAGCUUUCCAGUGCACUUUACAGCUUGGCAAUCCAACGGUUCAAUCAAAAGAUACGCGAAGAGCAAGAUGUCCCGUAAACCAGCCGGCAAGCACUUCCACCCGCGGCCAACAAGCAUUUUCCCGCGGUCAGGAGCAUCCCGACCGCGGCAAACCACUCAUCCACCGCGGUCACACUUGUCCCGACCGCGGCCUUCAACCUCCGAGCUCAAAAAGCCCAUUUCUGAAGCCCACAUUUGAAGAAACCCUAAGUGACGUCCAGAGAGGUCUUGAGCACUAUAAAUACAUGUCUUAGGAGCCCUAGAAAGUGUGGAACCGAAUACCAUCUAUCAUUACUUCAUACUUUUAUUGUUUUUGCUUUAGAUUUUAGGGAGAGAGAGAUUUGUUCUCUUGAACCCUUGUUCUUUCUUUAUCAAUUUCGGUUUCUAUUCUACUUCUUAAUAUUAUGUCUUUGAUUUCGUUCAUUAUGUCUGAGUAGUGUUAUUGUUGGGAUUAAGGGAUUUUCGAUGGGGAUAUAUAUGUUUGGUGAGGAUUCCAUUGGCUAUUGAGCUGAAUCUUAGAACUUUUUCUUCUGAAUUCGUUUUUACUGUAUGAGAGUAGCGUCAUGAACUACAAUCUGAUCCAGAUGCUUGGUUACACGAAAGUGUUCAUCAGGUAUCAGAUCUAGUCUGGGAGAGCAAAACAAACAUAGGAGUGGAAACCUACCUAUGGGCGAUUUGUGAAUUAGGACGAGUCUUAAACAUAAUGCAUCUCUUCUCUUCCAGGGCCAGAGUGGAAACCUACUGGUCAGGGUUGAGAGAGAUAGUUGUCUAUGAUCACAACAGUGGCGUAUUCAUACGUCCGUGACUCCAGUUCGAAAAGUUUAAGCUAAGAUCUUACAAAAUUUACUCUCUAGCAAUGUUUUGAAUCGUUCGUACCCCUGAGAAAACUUCCCUGAACCCCAACGCUUUCUUCUCCAUUGAUUUACACCGAUUUUCUUUCAAGCUUUAGUUCAAUAUUGUCUUUCCUUUUUAGUUCAUUUUCAUUUAAGCAUUAGAAUAUCCGUUUUUAUCAUUUUUAGUCAUUUUCGUUAAGUUUAGUUAUUACGCCAUUUAAUUUCCGUAUUCUCUUUUAAGAUUUCGUUUUUAGAUUUUAAACACACUACCAAACCCCUACUAAACCGUUUUUGUUCUAGACUUCCUUACUUUAACUUAUUUCAAAGGCUUUUUGCAGGAAAAGAUCCUCCUUCCCUAUGGAUUCGAUCCCUAAGUACUACAAUCGAUCAGUUGUGCACUUGCGGCUAUUGAUUUCAAUUAGGGUAAAACUUGACACCCACAACACACCAUCAUCACAAAUCAGGAGCAAUCUCGUGUUCAUCGGCAAUAUCUGGAAACCGGAUGCCAGUCUCGACGCCGAAGAGGAGAAAUUGAAGAGCUGGGAAGCCAAGCUAAUUAGAGCCAAGGAAACGUUUAAGCGUGCCAUGACGGACCUAAGGGAUAAGUUAGUCGUUUUGCCGGUUUCCCUGGAUUCUGUUGACUCUUGUCUGGAAAACGAGCCGCCGGAGGUUACUGCCGCUUCGAUUGGAGUCACGGAUCCGACGGGUUCCAACAUCAAAACCCCGAGGGCUAGUGAUCUCGCAGCUGAGGGCAUCUCUGACCGAGAGGGAUAAUUUUUGUGUCCUCGCUUAUGUACUGAAUCAUAUUUUUUUUGUGUCUGGAUGGCUUUAUCCAUACUUAUUGGCUUGUUUGUUUCUGUUUCUGAACCUUGUGCAUGGACGGCUUUAUCCACCUUCUUUUGUUUGCUGAACUCUUGAGAGACUUAUCUGAUAAUGGUUUUACUUAUAUUUCUCGUGUUUGGAUAGUCUUUCGGUUUCUGCCGAGCUGUUUCGAGCAAUAGUAAUGAGGCGUUGUCACUAAGUGACGAACUGUUUUAGGUUAAGAUUCUUUAACGACGAGAUAAGGAUUAAACGCCUCAUUUUUUCUGAGUUGUGGUGUGUAACAUGUCCGAGCUGGUAAGUAUGCUUUUUUUGGAGCUUAGAAUCAUCUUCGGUCUUGAUGAUUUUGUAGUUACUACAACUUGUUUAUCCCUUUUUGCGAGGAAUACUGAUAUUUAUGUGAUAUUGACUGUUUUUAUCGAGGCGUUUAAGCCACAAGUUAUAUUAUGCUGAAGCGUUUUUCAGGCAGGGGACAUAUAUUAUGAGGAAGGGUUAGGCUUUGUUGCCGAGGUGUUUAACUUGGGCCGGUUUUUGCUUACCGAGGUGUUAGACUUGAAUUUCUCAUUGCCGAGGUCAAAAUCCAGAGGGAUAGUGUCAGAGUACGACUAUAGACCGGCGUUCCCGAGAGAGUGAGUGUGUUUUGUCGGGUAUUAAGAGUUCACUUCGGUUUUAAAGAAAACGAUGCCGUCUCAACUUAUAAUAUCGUGUGCGAUAGUGAGCUGUGGCGACCGAUACGUUGUUGGUCUGAAAUAUGUAUAGCGCGCAAAUUUUUAUUAGUAGAGGAUGUAACUUGCAUUCUUGUCCUAGGAAAGGUGGUAAAAGUCUGUUUAGAGAACUUUGUAUUUGUAGUCUCGUUGUGGCUAGCAACGAGACGAGGUGUUUGGUGUUUGGAUACCGAAGUGAAAUAGUAACAAGCAAGAAUUUUGCCAAAGCAAUGUGUGAUCAAUAAAGCAAUUUGUGAGACAAGUAAAAGCCUAGUCGACGUAAAACAAGUGAAUAAGAGACUCGACAAAGUGAAAAUAAACUUAGAGAUAGCUGACUCGACGAGCUAAGUAUUUAUGUAUAUGUACCCACUUCCAAGGACGGGAUGCCUACGUAUCCUUUGCAGGAAUAAACCAGUCCUAUAGUUCAUGUAAGUUGUUGUGUAUUCUUAGUGAUAAUACUUCUUCAGGUGCAUGGCGUUCCACAAUCUCUGAAUCGCUUCGUCAGCCGUUGUUGCGAGUUCAUAGACUCCUAGACGAACCACUUUUGUGAUCUUGUAGGGGUCUUCCCAAUUUAUUCCGAGCUUUCCUGCAUUCCUUUCGGUAAUGUUUUGGAAUAUCUUUCUAAGGACGAGCUCCCCUUCUUGAAAUCUUUGGCUUCAGACAUUUUUGUUGUAAUAUCUCGCCGUUACUUGUUGGUAGUUCUGGACUCGGAUUAAGGCCUGGUCGCGCCUUUCGUUGCCUAGAUCGAGCUCGUCCAACAUCAUCAGGUAAUUCAAACCUUCUUGUCCUGGCAAAAGUCUUCGUCGAAUUCCAGGGAAAUUCACCUCGGGAGGGAUCACACAUUCUGUUCCAUAAACAAAGGCGCAUGGGUUUCUACAGUGGUUCGGCAUGGAGUUGUUCGAUGUGACCAAAGGAUUCCUUCCAGUUCGUGCCCAUCGUUAUCUCUUUUUUAACCCGUCCAAGAUUGUUUUAUUAGCUGCUUUGGCUAGUCCAUUCCCUUGGGGAUAUCUCGGCGUGGAUUUACUUAGGCGAAUUUUCCACUUCUCGCAGAAAGUUUCAAAGCGAGUUGAGAUGAACUGAGAUCCAUUGUCGGUGACUAUCUCGUAGGGAACCCCAUGUCGACAAAUGAUGUUCUUCCAGACGAAGUGUUCGACCUGGGCGUCCUUUAUGCUUGCGUAGGAGUCGACCUCGACCCAUUAGAAGAAGUAGUCUAUAAGAACGAGCAGGAAACGCUUCUGCUUUGACCGGUGUAGGGGUCCGACUAUGUCCAUCGACCAUAUCAUGAAAGGAUAGGGCGACGAAAUUGAGGACAGCAGCUCGGUUGGAUGACCGAUAGUAGGCGCGUACCGCUGACACUUCUCGCACUUUGCUGUAAAUUUCUUGCAGUCCUUGACCAUCGUAGGCCAGAAGUAUCCGUGCCGUUUUAUCUUGAUCGCUAAGGACCUUCCGCUAGAAUGAUUGCCAUACGCGCUGCUUGCACCUCGUGCAUUAUUUUCCUUGCUUUGGAUCCUUCGACGCACUUCAUUAGUGGUCCUGCAAACCUCCAUUUGAAUACUUCACCGUCGACGAGGACGUACCGUGCGGCUUGAGCCUUUAGUUUGUGAGCCUCCCAUUUGUCGGAUGGGACUUGUCCAUCGGUGAUGUAGACUCGAAUUGCUCUGAGCCAUUCAUUGUCGCAGUCAUAUUCUUGCUCGGGUGAAGAGGCGUCUUCUUCCAUUGCAGUUGCCUCGUCGUUAUCUGGUUCUUCCUCCGGGAGGUCGAUCAGCCGAACUCCUUCUACUACUUCUAUGCUCGUCCAUUCGAUGAGUUCGACCAGAAUUUUUCUUUAGAUAUCGUGAUCCGAGGUUGAGGCGAGUGCUGCUAAGGCAUCCGCCGAGGUGUUUUCCCCUUGGGGUAUUCAUGUGAGCUUGAACUCGUCGAACUGUUCUAAUAAGUUAUGGACUACUCUGUGGUAUGCUCCCAUUCUUCCAUCAUUCAAUGAUUCGUACUCUACUUCGUUGUUCGAGGCGUGGAAAUUCAGGCGGAAAGACUGCUCCAAGAUUUCUCCUGUUGGCGAGGUAAGGCGAAUUCCUAUUCCCGAGCUGGUUUUGACGACGAGACGUCGACAUGCAGUGUCCAAACUUCAUCCGGAAUCAGCUCGAUUGUUGUCUCGGUUGAGACUUCAAUGAGGAAAUUUGCGAGCACAUGAGAUUUUGCGGAAGACCUAUUCUGAUACUCGAUAUCAUACUCGCUUAGCUUGAUGGCCCAUUUGGCGAGCUGUCCUAACUGGCUCGGGCUAUGCAGAAUUAAGCGCAAUGGAAGGGUUACGAGCACCACAAUCGAAUGUGAUUGAAAAUAGGGACGCAGUUUGCAAGCCGACAUUACGACAGCUAGGGCGACCUUCUCAAUCUCCAGGUAGCGAGUCUCGACAUCGAUUAAUGUCUGACUAACAUAGAAGAUGGGCUUUUGUUCUCCGCACUCCUCUCUUAUUUAUACUCCGCUUACAGCCGUGGCGGAUACGGCGAUGUAAAGGAAAAGCGGUUCUCCUUCUAAUGGUUUCGUCUAGACUGGUGGGCUCGCUAAAUAGUUUUUAACUACUGGAAAGCUGCUUCGCAUUGCUCGUCUCAUUCAAAAACUUCUUAUUCCCACGGAGGAUAUCAUAGAAGGGAGGGCACUUGUCGGUAGACCGUGAGAUAAAUCGGUUUAGCGCAGCGACUCUUCCUGUGAGCCGUUAAACUUCUCGCUUCAUUCUUGGAGAGAACAUCUCGAUACCUCGGUGUGUUACCAAAUGCCGAGGAAUUCUCCCGAGGUUACCGCGAAUCUAUACUUCGCCGGGUUUAGCUUCAUAUUGUGCUCGUUCAGUAGCUGGAAACAAUCUUGUAGAUGUGUGACAUGAUCCUUUUCUUCAAGCGAUUUGACUAGCAUGUCGUCGAUGUACACCUCCAUGGUUUUCCUGAGCUUAGCUGCAAACAUCUUAUUGAUGAGCCGUUGAUAUGUUGCCCCAAAGUUUUUGAGUCCGAACGGCAUGACUUUAUAGCAAUAUAUUCUGCGUUAAGUUAUGAACGCCGUUUUCUCUCUGUCGUCAGGAUGCAUCAAGAUUUGGUUAUAGCGUCCAUGAAUGUCUGCAAGUUGUUUCAUGCCGUAGCAUCGACAAGCCGGGGAAGUCUGUGAAGUCUAUGCAGAUUUGGGCAAGCCUUGUUGAGUCUGUGAAGUCUAUGUAGACUCGCCAUUUGCCGUUUUUCUUCUUCAACACCACUGGGUUUGCGAGCCAGUCCGGAUAUUUUGCCACAGCGAUCGAUCCUACUUUGAGCAGUCUUUCCACUUUGUCGUUGACAGCUUUAGCUCGUUCAGGGCCAAGCUUUCUCCGCUUCUGCUUGAUUAGUUUGAAGGUCGGAUCUACGUUUAACUCGUGACAGGUCACGUUGAUGCUUAUGCCCGGCAUAUGUACCGCACUUCAGGCGAAAGGAAAGGAGUUCGUUCUUCAAGGGCUCUCCUAACUUGGCUUUGAUCUUGACGCACACCGAGUCCACCGCAUCGCAUAUUGGCUUGACGCGUGUCUCGCGGUUCUCCACGAUCUUUAAUUGCUAUAAGAGUUUGGAGAGCUCUCGGUCCGUCUUAAGAUUCUUGCAAUCCACAUCGGCGCCUGCAUCAGUGACGGGAUUCCUUAAUUUGUGCUCCGUCAGGAAACACAUUCGCGACUCUUUUUAAUUUCUCCAAAUCGUCUUGAUGCCUGCUAGAGUCGGGAACAUGAUGCAGAGGUGAUUGGUUGAAGGGAUUUCUCUCAUAGCAUUAAUCCAUGGAGUUCCCAUGAUCAUGGUGUAGAUCGUUGGUUGGUCGGUGACUGAAAAUUCGAUGAUCUUGGUGACUCCUCCAGCUACCACAGGAAGUCUGAUCGUGCCCAUAUUUAUCGUUGUUUCUCCUGAAAAUCCAGUUAGAGGCUUAGGGGUAGCCAUCACCUCGGAGAGGUUGAUUCCCAUUCUUUUGAGUGUCUCCCUGAAGAUAACAUCCACCGAGCUCCCAGUGUCGAUGAGUACUCUUACCACGUCAUAGUCUCUAAUCGUCAGUUCAAUCACCAGUGGAUCAGUGUGCGGCCUAUCUGUUCAUGUCGUUUCCUCCUCGGCAAAAGAGAUCACCGUAUUUGGGAGGUCGGUUGGUUCGGCCCCGUUCUCCUUUGCUUCUGCUCGGCGCUGAUAGGCUUUGAUAGAGGACACCGUGUCUUGGUAAUGUUGGGAUCAACCCAUAAUCAUGUUGAUCCUUUGCCUCGGCUCAGAUCGUUCCUCGGGUUUGCCUCUCCUGUCGCGCUUGGUAUUGUCACCUCUUCGGGUAGAUUUUUUGCUUCUACCGCGCUAUUCGGCUUGGUUCCCUCCUUGGGUUCAGUAGGGGCGAGGUUUUUGAGAUUCACUGCGCUCUAGAGUUCUUCUGCUGUCAUUUUAGCUACAAGCUUCGCUCCCAGAGUUCAGCACUACGCUGUUAAAUGCCGUGGGUUUGGUGAUAUUCGCAAAACGCUUUUUCGUCGUAGUUGGUAGGCCUCCUCACCCAAAUGUUGUUAUGUGGCUCACCUCUUCCGUGGCCAGCACCUACUUGGUAACUGUGGGCGCCUCCGCUCCUUGGUUCUUCCAAAUUCUGAAUCGUUGUACUAUUCGAGGGAUGACCUUUCCUUGAGGGGUGCGUCAGGAUCGAACUCCGGAUUGCUGCUUUUGUUGUUUCGUACUAUUCGUCCAGAUUUUUCUUCUCUUCUUCGUUUAUGACAAAGUCUGAUGAUCGAUGUAAGGCAUCCUGAAUUGUCUGCGGUGUGUUGAGCACCAUCUCCCAUCGAAAUUUGGAUUUGUACCAUAAAGAUCCCUUCAAUGCUUCAAGUGCAGCCUUGUCUCUUAUUCCUUCUAUUUUGAACACGACCGCUUUGAAUCUUGCCAUGUAAUCUCAAAGUGGCUCGUUCGAUCAUUGGGAUAACGUCCAUAUGUCAGCGUCAGAAGUUCCUCGGUCCAGGAACAUUGAGUACUGCUUCAUGAACAUUGGGAGAGCUGCUGAAAACCGUUGAUCGAGUUGUGCUCCUGCCUUGAAAACCAUUCCAGUGCGGUUCCUUGAGAUGAUCUACGAAGAGCAGAUAGUAACCGGCAUCCUUUUCCUGCUCGGUCAGAUUGGCGGCGUUCUUUGUGAAGGCUCGUCCCAUUGCUAUGCGAAUGCUGUGAUAUGCGCCUUCGGGUCGGUCAUACCUUCAUAAAUCGGGAUUGUGGCAUUCCCCGGUUCAGAAAUCCUAGCCUCCGUUAUUCUUGCCAUGAACGGGGUUCUUUGAGUUUCUUCGAGCAUUCGAUCAAUUUCCGGUGCGACACUUAUCGCGUUAUGCACUUGAGACUUUAUGGCGCGUAUCUCUGCCACUUUCCAAGCCAUUGAGGCUCGCAACUCUUCCAUCUCCGAGGUUUGCGCGCGUGUCAUUCUCCUAGGUGGGAGAGGUCGCUCCUAGUCUUCUCUCCUCGGCGCGUCUCCGUACUCCGCCGGCUCGACCCAUUGGAGGUUCUCCUCUUUUUUAAGUUGGAUCGUUAUAGUGAUUUGGAUCGGUGACUCUGUCAGUUUGGAUGCUAUUAAGCGCCGAGGCGAGCUCUUCUUGACUUAUCUGCCGAGCCGAGCCAUUUUGCUGCGAGUUUCUGGUUCCGUCACUCUGCUGGGAGUCCACGUCGAUCACGUCGUUUUCCUCCUCAUCACCUCUCCGUCUUGAAUUCUGACAAAGCGGGGGUGGCUCGGUCAUGUUGACUCAGGUUGCUGCUGGAGUUCGUUCGCCGAGGGGACGAAACAUUCGUGGAGCCAUGGGAUUUCUUAUGCCGCUACCGGAUGCUCCUGCAGGUGUCGAGAAGUCGAAGCGCUUCCUGACUCCAUCUAUUGGAUCGGAGAUCCUAGCUCUCCAAGUCGGAUGCUGUCUUUCAGCCGUUAUUGCGUCGAGUCUCUCCGUGAUCGCUUCGUUCCUCUUAUCCUGCUCGUCGAUUUUCUUCAUCAAUGUGGCCAUCAUAUUCUGCAUCUCCUCCUGCGCUUCGGUAGUUGUCGUUGUCGUGCUUGGUGGUGGAGCGUCCUUCUCUGCGCCGUUGUUGUUGUUGUUCUCGUUGUCGGAAGCGUUGCUUGCCAUGAUCUUAUAGUCUUGUCGAUUUUAAAGUAAGAAAUUUUGAUGUCCCUACAGACGGCGCCAAAUUGUGUGAGCCAAAACUCGCACAACCAAAAAUUUGUUAAGGAAAACUUAAGGAAUCCAAAAUUUAUAGGGUUUAUCACAAGAACAGUAAGAUUGAAAGAGGGUUUUUUUUGCUGGAAAAGUGUUUUAGUCUUAUUGCUCUCGAGUCGGUAAAAGUUACAUAAUGAAUCGAUUACAUUGAUUAUUUAUACUCAAUCUUUAAACCGUCUAGCCGAAAAUCUCGGGAAAUAUUUUUGGAAUAUUUAUUUAUCACCUUGUGCGGCCGCUGCCAUAUCGCUUUGUCUAGAGUUUCUAUGUGCCUUACAUCUUCGUGGCUAGGCCCACUAGUUGUUGGAGUCUGCUUACUGAAGCGUCACGCUGUUUGUCCCAACUCAUCGAGGCGCGGCUCGGCCCAUGUCUCACAGUACGACUCGGCCGACUUACUCCCUCUGCAGGGCUCGGUCAAUCCAACUAAGAAGCAGCUCGGCUCGACCUAUGUCUCCUCGUGCGCAGCUCGGUUUUUCCUUUGCGGGGCUCGGUUUUUCCAGGUACCUAGUCAUUUUCGAGAUGGUUAAAAUGUUUGGGGUGAAAUCGACCCCAACAAACUCCACUAAUCUAACUCGUUCAAUCCUUAGACAACACUUCAUUAAUUCAUCCAUAGCCAUUCAGUGUAACUUUAAUCCAUCAUUGGUCUUCUUUGAACCGCACCAACUUGGAUCUUGAGUGAAAGUCUUCGGCCUUGUCUUCUUGACUUCAGCCUCGCCUCUUCUUCUCUUCUUCCUCUCUAAUACUCCCCCGCAAGCUUGGUCGUCGAGACCCCAAAGAGGCCUAGAGGCCAAGCUUCCAACACGCCAUACUACGUCAUUAAAAACCUUCAUAAAGAAAACAUCUUGGGAUAAAACUUAUGAAGGUAAAAAGAGUAUAGUUUAAUGAUUGCUUGAUAUAGCUAUGAACUUGGUUUGAAAUUCAGAAUUGGCACCAUCUUCCAAGUGUUUCCAUUCCUGUUAGCCCAUCUUGACUUGAUUUCUCUUCACAAGAACCUCUUCAUUCCUCCUAUUGCUUCUUUUAAAAUUUUCACACAUUCCUCCUCUCCUUUAAACCUUCAUCAUGAGAUUUAAAUAAAAUUUUUAAAGUAUAUGUUGUGGGGUUUUAAGAAACAUAAAUGAAACUUGUGUUUUGCAAAAGGAGAAAAUACUAAAGCAUAAUGGACUCAGGUAAUGAAAUUAACAAAUCAAAAAUGGGAUACAGUUUAGAGUUUACCCUUUUGAGAUGAAGAGGACUUCGAGGAUUUUGAGAUGCAGUUUUGCUCCAUGAGACAUUGCAUCGAUUUGUCUCUCCAUUUGAGGUUUAUCCUCCUCCGCACUUCUUGACUUGGAUAUGGUUUGACACCACAUCUUGACACCUUGUGGAUUUCCUGAACCCCAUCAGCUAUACACAUACACAAACGCUUUGGGAUUGUUUCAGAGCCUUCCACCAGCUUUCCUCUACACUUGAACUUCCACCUUAGCCACCUUGGGGUCUGUUAUCUUCAGGUCAGCCUCUUUGGUCCGCCAUCAUCAAGUCAGCCGGGUUAAGACUAGAUUGGGCUUGUCUUGUGGUCUCCAAAGCUUGAUGGUUACUGGUUCAAACUCCAAGCAUUAUGUUGGGCGUCUUUUUCAUGGCUUUCUUGAAGCCUUUAGUGUUUGAAUCUAGCCUCAUGACUGUUUCAAAACACUGCACACUCGCUAUGCUUUCAUGAGAGAGAAAGCGAUCCCAAAUGAAAACAAAACACCAUCUCACUGUUUGAAAUUUUAAACAUUUGAAUUAUUUAUGAUAGUGAGAGGUUGAGAGAAUAAAGAAUUAGGAGAUUGGUGAAGAAUAGAGAGAAUAGUGGAAGAAAACAGAAUUUAGAGAAUGGAGGAGAAUAGACAAAAUACGCGGAAGCAAAAUAGAAUGGAGAAUAGAGAAUUUGCUCAAGAGUUCAAAUGGACAGAUUUUUGCUCUGUUUUUCCUAAGUUUUGCGGAAGCAAAGAGAACCAAGAACAACCAAGAACAGCAAGAACUUUGGUGUAUUAAUGGCUUUAAAAAUAAUUACUCACAUUAUCACACAUGGAGAAGAAUUUUCUGUGAGCUUUAAACAACAAGAGCAAAGAAAUAACACAAGACUUAGUGUUUUCCAUGACUUUAAACAAGAGAAAAAAAUUGUCUUGAAUAAAAAUGGUGAAAAACGAGGAAAGUCACUGCUCUGAUACCAUGUUGGAAUUUAUGAAAAUGAGAAAAGGAACAAUCAACUUGCGACAGAACCAACACAAAGAACUUGAUAGAACCUCACCAAGGUGAAUGAAACUGAUUCUAUAAAGGAGAGAAAUAAAUCUAUAUGAGACUUAACCUGAGGAGUAAUACAACACAAUAGAGUUUUUAUACUCAAAAGAAGGAUCAGAAUCAGUAAAUUGAUUCAUUAUUAAGAGAGAAAUAACAAGAGAACUAGAAAUUGUUCUUUAGUAGAGAAUGAGAAAAGCAAAUGAAUCACUCUUGAAUUACUUAGGAAAGGAUGAAUUAAAGAGUGUAUUUGGCUGCUAUAAGCAGCCCUACACGUGUUCUUACUUAGUCUACAUUGUGACUUUAGGACAAGAACACAAGAGAAAAAUAAGAGAGAUAAUAUUGUGUAAAAUACUUGUGUAUAUUAAGAUGAUUCUUGUGACCAUAUUACAGACAUAUAUAUAUAUAGCGAAUUAAACAUGAGAAACCUAGUGUGAACAUUUUAAAAUAUCGUUCUGUAUUACAAGGAAAGACAGAGUCACAUGCUUCUUUAUUUAGUGUUCACACUAUUGAAAGUGACAGCUCACAAACGGUCACAUACGACUAAAGCCACAUGUGAGUCCAGACUCCAAUUCAAAUCGGUUUCCCUUCUCUUCUUGUCACUUAUGGGCUUUGUCUUGCAUACACUGGGCUUUAUUCCUUCUCAUUCUUGCCCUUCUUGGAUAUGGGCCUCGCCCUUCUUGCAGAUGAACCUCAGCCUUGAUCUUCUUGUAGAUGUGCCGAGACUAAGUGAUUGAGUCUCACUAGAAUGUAGAGCUGUACGGUCUCUUAUCAGCCUCUAACGGUCAGAUAUCAAUCCGCAGCUCACCACACAGUCUUGAUCUGUAUGGACGCUUAUCGGUCUUCAGCCUUUAAGCGUCCUACUUCCUGAUCUAUUGAGAACUCCACUUAUCUAACUCCUUCAAUCCUUACACAACACUUCAUUAACUCCUCCAUAGCCUCUCAAUGUAACUUUAAUCCAUCAUUGGUCUUUUUUGAACCGCACCAACUUGGAUCUUGAGUGAAAUUCUUCGGCUUUGUCUUCUUGACUUCGGCCUCACCUCUUCUUCUCUUCUUCCUCUCUAAUACUCCCCCACAAGCUUGGUCGUCGAGACGCUAAAGAGGACCACAGGCCAAGCUUGCAACACGCCAAACUACCUCAUUAAAAAUCUUACUAAAGAAAACCUCUUGCAAUAAAACUUUAUGAAGGGAAAAAGAGUAUAGGUUAACGAUUUCAUGAUGUAGCUAUGGCCUUGGUUUGAAAUUCAGAAUUGGCACCAUCUCCCAAUUGUUUCCAUUCCUUUUAGCCCUUCUUGACUUGAUUUUUCUUUGCAAGAACCUCUUGUUUCGUCCUAUUGCUUCUUUUGAGAAUUUUCACAUAUUCCCCCUUGAUAACACCGUAUUUUGACCACUUUUGUGGAUUGUUUUUAAAUGCUUUUCAAAUGCUUUUUAUUUCUUUUAAGUGUUUUAAGUAUGGUUUCUAGCACUUGCAGAUAUCUAGGGUUAUAAUUUUUAAAACAUGAAGCAGCGAAGUCAACCCUAGCAGCAUCACUCCUCUCCUUUAAACCUUCAUCAUGAGAUUUAAAGAAAACUUUUAUGUUGUGGGGUUUUAUGAAACAUAAAUUAAACUUUGAGUUUUGCAAAAUGAGAAAAUACUAAAGCAUAAUGGACUCAGGUAAUGAAAUAAACAAAUUAAAAAUGGGAUACAGUUUAGAGUUUACACUUUUGAGAUGAAGAGGACUUUGAGGAUUUUGAGAUGCAGUUUUGCUCCAUGAUACAUUACAUCGAUUUGUCUCUCCAUUUGAGGUUUAUCCUCCUCCGCACUUCUUGACUUGGAUAUGGUUUGACACCACAUCUUGACACCUUGUGGAUUUCCUGAACCCGAUCAGCUAUACACAUAUACAAACGCUUUGGGGUUGUUUCAGAGCCUCCCACCAGCUUUCCUCUACACUUGAACUUCCACCUUAGCCACCUUGGGGUCUGUUAUCUUCAGGUCAGCCUCUUUGGUCUGCCAUCUUCAAGUCAUCCGAGUUAAGACUAGAUUGGUCUUGUCUUGUGGCCUCCAAAGCUUGAUGGUUACUGGUUCAAACUCCAAGCAUUAUGUUGGGCGUCUUUUUCAUGGCUUUCUUGAAGCCUUUAGUGUUUGAAUCUAGCCUCAUGACUGUUUCAAAACACUGCACACUCGCUAUGCUUUCAUGAGAGAGAAAGCGAUCCCAAAUGAAAACAAAACACCAUCUCACUGUUUGAAAUUUUAAACAUUUGAAUUAUUUAUGAUAGUGAGAGGUUGAGAGAAUAAAGAAUUAGGAGAUUGGUGAAGAAUAGAGAGAAUAGUGGAAGAAAACAGAAUUUAGAGAAUGGAGGAGAAUAGACAAAAUACGCGGAAGCAAAAUAGAAUGGAGAAUAGAGAAUUUGAAGAGUUCAAAUGGACAGAUUUUUGCUCUAUUUUUCCUAAGUUUUGCUGAAGCAAAGAGAGCCAAGAACAACCAAGACCAGCA
rnacentral:lncRNA from 1 species